UACAGAGGUCCCAAGCGUUGUUCGGAUUCACUGGGCGUAAAGGGUGCGUAGGUGGUGAGGUAAGUCGGAUGUGAAAUCUCCGGGCUCAACCCGGAAAUGGCAUUGGAAACUACCUUGCUGGAGGGUUUGAGGGGGGAUUGGAAUACUUGGUGUAGCAGUGAAAUGCGUAGAUAUCAAGUGGAACACCAGUGGCGAAGGCGAGUCCCUGGACAACUCCUGACACUGAGGCACGAACGCUAGGGGAGCAAACAGG
rnacentral:rRNA from 1 species